rnacentral:rRNA from 1 species
CCCUUACGUCCUGGGCUACACACGUGCUACAAUGGCAAGUACAGAAAGCAGCUACCUGGCAACAGGAUGCGAAUCUCCAAAGCUUGUCUCAGUUCGGAUUGGAGUCUGCAACUCGACUCUAUGAAGCUGGAAUCGCUAGUAAUCGGAUAUCAGCCAUGAUCCGGUGAAUACGUUCCCGGGCCUUGUACACACCGCCCGUCAAGCCAUGGAAGCUGGGGGUACCUGAAGUCGGUGACCGCAAGGAGCUGCCUAGGGUAAAACUAGUAACUAGGGCUAAGUCGUAACAAGGUAGCCGUACCGGAAGGUGCGGCUGGAACACCUCCUUUCUAGA